GAUGAAGAACGUAGCGAAAUGCGAUACGUAAUGUGAAUUGCAGAUUUCAGUGAAUCAUCGAAUCUUUGAACGCACAUUGCGCCCGCUAGUAUUCUGGCGGGCAUGCCUGUUCGAGCGUCAUUUCAACCAUCAAGCCCUAGGCUUGCGUUGGAGCCCUGCGGCUGCCGCAGGCUCCCAAAUCCAGUGGCGGGCUCGUCGUCGUACCGAGUGCAGUAAACAUCCUCGCUCAGGGAACGUGACUGGUUCUUGCCGUGAAACCCCCCACAUAUCAAGGUUGACCUCGGAUCAGGUAGGAAUACCCGCUGAACUUAAGCAUAUCAAUAAGCGGAGGA
rnacentral:misc_RNA from 1 species